GGGCUGCUCUCGUUUGCGGAACUAUAGAACCACCGUCGUUUCAAAGACUUUGCCGACGACUGUCGGGGACUAGAACUGAGAGCGAUACACCGCCGGAACUGACGAGCAAAUUCGGUGCCGCUUUGCACGAUCCUUCAAAAUACGGCGUUUUCAAAGGAUGGCCAUCACCGGAACUCCUUCAGGGAAUUGAAAUCGACGUCGCACCUAAGAUUUCUAACUUUCUCAUGGAACCAAACAUCAAUGGCGGUGUGUUUUCCUGGAAAACGACUCGCUCUGAUGGAGCUCACCCCUACUUGGGAUUUUUCAUGUCUGCAACAAAAAAAUGGAAAAACCAUCCGCUGCAAAGGAGGAGAAAAAUAAGCUGCUUGGAACUUCCAAAGAAGAUUCUGAAGCCAGAGUUUUUAAGGCUGCAAAGGGAAGCUAAUCAAGCCAACCCAGGAACUUCUAAGGUCAAGUGGAUGAGAUUGGUCAAGUGGUCGGAGAUUGAAUUACAUGUGUUUAUGGACUGAACGAGAUUGAAUUACAUGUGUUUAUGGACUGAACAAGAUUCGAGCCGAGUAAAUGGUCAAAUUGCCAGGGGUGUGAAAUGAAUAGCCUUGGGUCUUGAGAAUGAAAGUGAAUUCAAUGUCAAGAAACUGAAGAAGAAAGCUGGGUUUUUAGCUAGGAGGAAACAUUUAUUCAUAGAAAAAGCAAGGAGCAAACAUUUGACCGGCCAAAGCUCAAGGUUGUUGGCUGUCAAAAGGAGUAAAGUUCUGUUAUGUAUGAGGAAAAGUUUAUUGGGUCAGAGCUCAAAGUUGUCAGCUGUUGAUCAGGGUGACGAAAUCAAUGACUUGGCGGAGAGCACUGGUCCUGAGGACAGCCCUGGUUUGGGAGAGAGGGCUAAAGCCGACUGCCCUCAUCGGGCUGGCCUAGACGCGGAGCAGGUACCCAAUCUUCAGAGCAGUGACCCAGCUAGUAACUAGUUACUGCUCUUUAAAUAAGCAGGUCCCCUGACUACAUUUAACAGUUUUAAGCUGUUCUAGUAAAACAAAACGGCAUCUUAUGCGUUUGUUAUAACUUUAGAUCUUUCAACUCUCUUUGCGUUUAAGUUGGAACUUUUUUUUUUUAAAUUCCAUCCUUUUGGGAUUCACCUUUGUUGGUAGAUGGUUGAACCAUAAUAUCCUUUGCUUUGGGUUUUUUUUAAUCAACUUAAUUAGCUUUUUUGUUUAUUUCUAGUUUGCACCUAAUCCCCAGGGGUUGGCACAAGU